CCAUAUAUCAUUUAGUGUAGCGGUAAAUGUAUCUUAGUACUUAUUAAUAGGCCAUGGGGUCGAUUGAAGAUAUCUGUAACAGCCCGUAUUUUUAAGCAUGUUUUAAAUUAAGUAAAUUGUGUUUAUUAAUUUAACUAAACUUUAUAUCAAUAAGAGAUCAUUUGAGAAUUUGAUUAUUAUAUUCUAAAUUGUGUUGUGGAAAUUUUUGGGAGUAAAAAUGUUUUGGAGAUUGAUAAUUAAAUUUCAGAUUCUCUUUUAAAGGAAAGAAAAGAAAUUACUUUUAGGUGGCAUAUGUGGGAAAUGCCACAUACUUGUUAUGUGUCAAACCCUCAUGCUUCUCCAUCAAAGAAAUGAAACUCAAACCCUUUAAACUCUCUCUCUCUCUCUCGUGUUCUCUGUCUCUCAAAACCCCAAAAAACAAAAAAAAAAUUGAAAACCCCACAUCCUUAAUCUCUCUCGUCCCUUGCUUUCUGCCUCGCCGGAAUUGUGCCUCUCCUCGCCGGCGUUCUUGAAGCUCGUCGGAGCCGCACUCUAUUUUUCCCUUCGUGUUUUCUCUCUCCUCCGUUAAUUGUUGCGGUCGUCGGUGCUCGGUCAACAUUCCGGCACCGUCGCUGCUGCUGUAUGAUUUGUGUCGUUCGGUGGUUGUUUUCUCUCUCCUCUAUUAUUUGUUGCGGUCGUCGGUGCUCGGUGGAAUUGCACCGCCACUGCUACUGUUUCCGGUGCUCUUCGCCGGCGACUGCCCCUGUUGUUCCGCGUGGUGCGACUGCUGUUACAGCAGUGUUGAUGCUGCUAUUGUUGCCUGUUUUCUCUACCUCUUGAUAAUUCUUGAGUUGCAUGGUAUGAUACUCCUUCUUAGCUAUAUCAUUUUAGAUUAUAAACUGAUUUAAAUCAGAUUUCUAAGAUGUUGUUGAGAUUAAAGAUUGGAAGUUAUAUCAUCCUUUAUUUGUAUCUCUUCUAAUUAUGAACAAGUGUGAGUAUGUUGAGUUUAUAAUCUAGUCUCGUUAAUUUCAGAUUUUGAAAACAACAAUUUGAAUAUCAGUUGGCAAAAUUAGUUUUGUCAAAUAAAUUUAACUCCUAAUCUUGUUACGAAAAUCAGAUAUGAUAAAAGUUUGUUCAACUUAAAGAUUAAAUCUUUCCUAUUUAUUUAAUGGGUUGAAUUGAGGCUUAUAAUUUGUAUUUAUAUUUCUUAAUUUGGUUUAUGAAAUCAAAUUUCAAUAAGCCAUGUUGUUUGAUAGUAUCCUCCAUCUGUGAAUUAGAGUGACGUUAAUUGGAGUUAGAGAUUGAUAUAGUGAAGUGGAUUAGUAGAAUGGUUUGUAAAUAAGGAGUUGGGGGUCGUUCAUGAGAGAGGUUAGAAUGUAUGAGAAAGUUAAUUUCUUUAUCUAAUUGGUAGUAAGGAUGUUAAUUGUUGUUCAUAUUGUUGUGAGGUGAUUGUUGGAGAUUGAUAAAGAAUUUGGAAAUGUUGGAAUCUUGAAGAUUAUUAUGAAUUGAGCAUUCUUUGGGGGAAAUGAAAGAGAGUUCAUUGUUAGUGAUCUUGCAGGUUCGUGCGUGGAAAGCUCGGAAUGGAGUAAAAGGAAGAAUUUAGGUAUCAAGGUUAUAGUGAGAUGUAAUGGUUCAGAGUUUGUAUUGGGGUUAUAUAACCUUAUUUGUGAUGAAAUUAUUGUAUUGCUUUAGAAGUCGAGCAAGGUAUUAUUGUAAUAUGUUAUUGGUUAUUGAGGAUGUGUUGUGGGCCCAUAACCCACAGGUCCAGGAUCGUGUAUUGAAGGUUUUAUUCCGCUGCGAAUAAAUAAUUAAUUCGAGGCUAUUAAGUGUUAAUUGAGUCUUA